CAACAAUGCUAUCUAUGCUAGCUACUGCCAACAUGGUCGUCAUGAGCUGCUUGAGAGCGUAGGAAUAAGUGCAGAUGCAGUAGCUCGCAGCGAGUGGUGAUAAAUUUG